UACGAAGGGGGCUAGCGUUGCUCGGAAUCACUGGGCGUAAAGGGUGCGUAGGCGGGUCUUUAAGUCAGGGGUGAAAUCCUGGAGCUCAACUCCAGAACUGCCUUUGAUACUGAGGAUCUUGAGUUCGGGAGAGGUGAGUGGAACUGCGAGUGUAGAGGUGAAAUUCGUAGAUAUCGGGAGGAACACCGGUGGCGAAGGCGGCGACCUGGGUCGAUACUGACGCUGAGGUGCGAAAGCGUGGGGAGCAAACAGG
rnacentral:rRNA from 1 species